UUACAGAAGGGAAGGAGUAGUUCUAAAUGCUGGGAUCUGGAAAAGUACUUUGGAAUUGGUGCCAUCUGAGGUGAAGCUGGAAGGAAGGAAAUCAUUGGGACAAGUGGAAAAUCCAUUGGAAUACACAUAUAUAUAGUAAACAGAACAAGCUCCUUUUCAAAAAGCAGUCCCUCAGUGAGCUCAUCUGCUCUCAGGAAUUCAUCCAUUGCUGCUGUGCGGAUGCUUCAAAGUCUAACCACAUGAACCAUCAGUUACCAGCCAUCUACUACCUGAUGAAAGGGAGCAAAAGCGAACACAGGGUGAUUGCUCUUAUGUGUGUCUUCAGAACAAUAAGUUCAAAGAUAAAAAUUUUAUCUUUCUGACCAACAAGAUGGGCUGAACAUCCCAAAGCCUCAUUCUGUCAGUAGAGACAAGAUUUAAAUGGAGGUAACACCCACUAAAGAGCCAUAUACUGAAAAUGGACA